UACGUAGGGUGCAAGCGUUGUCCGGAAUUAUUGGGCGUAAAGAGCUCGUAGGCGGUCUGUCGCGUCGGAUGUGAAAAUCCAGGGCUCAACCCUGGACCUGCAUUCGAUACGGGCAGACUAGAGUUCGGCAGGGGAGACUGGAAUUCCUGGUGUAGCGGUGAAAUGCGUAGAUAUCUGGAGGAACACCGGUGGCGAAGGCGGCAUCCUGGACCGAAAUUGACGCUGAGGCGCGAAAGCCAGGGGAGCAAACGGG
rnacentral:rRNA from 1 species